rnacentral:rRNA from 1 species
CCUACGGGAGGCAGCAGUGAGGAAUAUUGGUCAAUGGGCGGGAGCCUGAACCAGCCAAGUCGCGUGAGGGAAGACGGUCCUAUGGAUUGUAAACCUCUUUAGGCGGGGAGCAAUGCCGGGCACGUGUGCCCGGAGGGAGAGUACCCGCAGAAUAAGCAUCGGCUAACUCCGUGCCAGCAGCCGCGGUAAUACGGAGGAUGCGAGCGUUCUCCGGAUUUAGUGGGUUUAAAGGGUGCGUAGGCGGAUUUUUAAGUCUGCGGUAAAAUGUCGGGGCCCAACCCGGGCCGGCCGUUGAGACUGGGGAUCUUGAGUGGGCGAGAAGUAUGCGGAAUGCGUGGUGUAGCGGUGAAAUGCAUAGAUAUCACGAAGAACUCCGAUUGCGAAGGCAGCAUACCGGCGCCCGACUGACGCUGAGGCACGAAAGCGUGGGGAUCGAACAGGAUUAGAUACCCGUGUAGUC